GAAAAGAAACCAACAGGGAUUGCCCCAGUAACGGCGAGUGAAGCGGCAACAGCUCAAAUUUGAAAUCUGGCCCCCCGGCCCGAGUUGUAAUUUGGAGAGGAUGCUUCUGGCGCGGCGCCGUCCGAGUUCCUUGGAACAGGACGCCACAGAGGGUGAGAGCCCCGUACGGACGGACGCCUAGCCUCUACGAAGCUCCUUCGACGAGUCGAGUAGUUUGGGAAUGCUGCUCAAAAUGGGAGGUAAAUUUCUUCUAAAGCUAAAUACCGGCCAGAGACCGAUAGCGCACAAGUAGAGUGAUCGAAAGAUGAAAAGCACUUUGAAAAGAGGGUUAAAAAGUACGUGAAAUUGUUGAAAGGGAAGCGCCUGUGACCAGACUUGCGCCCCGCGGACCACCCGGCGUUCUCGCCGGUGCACUCUGCGGUGCGCAGGCCAGCAUCGGUUCUCCCAGGGGGACAAAGGCCGCGGGAACGUAGCUCCUUCGGGAGUGUUAUAGCCCGCGGCGGCAUGCCCCUGGGGGGACCGAGGACCGCGCUUCGGCAAGGAUGCUGGCGUAAUGGUCACCAGCGACCCG
rnacentral:rRNA from 1 species